rnacentral:lncRNA from 1 species
AUCGACUAUAUUCUAUGUUUAAAUAACACAAAAAAUACCGACCCUUAGUAGGGAGAUUCGAGUGAGAAUUGAGAUCUUUAACAGUACUGGGAGAAAGUGAUGGCUACCUUUAUACAUCACAAAGGAAACAGAAAUUAUUCUUCAGAUGAAGCCUCAUGCAACACAGAACGGCACUAUUUGCUGCUGAUCUCCUUGCCGGAAUCCGAUUGACAGUGCAACUGCUAUAGAACAUAUAUAAGAGAAAUACACCUGAACAAUCUUUGGGAAUUCAAAGUUCUUCGAAGAAAUUCACAGAAACAAGGUUUCUCCAUAAAGGGCACAUACCAUCAAAUGUGUGGUGGGCUGUUUCCUUCAUUUUUUAACAGUUUUUUCCACCCAAGACCACUAGUCUGAGGAUAUUUGCAUAUCCAGUGUCGCAUUUAAAGCAAUCUAGGGUUUACCCAAGUCAAAUUGUGUAGGCUAUAUUACGAAGCUGGUGGAAGAUCAGCUUUGAUCACAGGCGCCACGCCACUUAACGCGCUACUCCCAUCUAGUGGAAAGGGAUGAUCUUCGUCAAUGGUGAUGGUGGGGAUGGAACCGGGGCGAUAUGGAAGUACUUUUACAGGCAAGCAAGCAUGCACUCCACUAAAUGAAAAAGCUCUCUCUGAGACAUUCUGGACCAAGAAUUUUACCAAGGGAAAUUGCUCUCUCCCCCCACGCUCCAGGUUCUUG